CAAAAACAUUGCCUUCUGCACCCAAUAGAAGGUAAUUCCUGCCCAGUGACCAAGUUCAACGGCCGCGGUAUCCUAACCGUGCAAAGGUAGCAUAAUCACUUGCCUAUUAAUUGUAGGCUAGAAUGAACGGAUAAACGAAAUAAAUACUGUCUCAACUAGCAACCUAGAAACUACUCUCUAUAUGAAGAAGAAUAGAUAAAAUAGAAGGACAAGAAGACCCUAUAGAGCUUUAUACCUAAAUAGAUUAACACUUAUAUAAAGUAUUCGGUUGGGGCGACCGAGGGAUAUAAAUCACCCUCAAAAUAUAAGAUAUAUAAAUCAAAUAAAUGACCCUUUACAAGAUCACAAGAACAAGCUACCUUAGGGAUAACAGGCUAAUCCUAUUCAAGAGUCCAUAUCGACAAUAGGGGUUGGCACCUCGAUGUUGGCUUAGGGUAUCUAUAUAGCGCAAAAGUUAUAUAAAGAUGGUUUGUUCAACCAGUAAUUCCCUACGUGAUCU
rnacentral:rRNA from 1 species